GCCCGGUUAGCUCAAUCGGUAGAGCGUGAGACUCUUAUCAUAGCUCCAUGGCAGUGAAAGCAAUCUCAAGGUUGCGGGUUCGACCCCCGCAUCGGGCU
rnacentral:tRNA from 1 species